GUUGAUGAGCUGCCACUCGUGAGAGACCUCCUUGAUCUUCUUCUUCUUGGAUUUUGUCUCCUUCUCCUCAUCGACAUCCUCAACAUCUCCCUCCUCUUCCUUCUUGGGUUCGUCAUCUUCAUCAUCACUGAUCUCUUUUUCAGUUGUUUUCUCUGUCCACAGGUGGAUGGGGUAGCUAAUGAACUCAGAAUGCUUCUUCACAAGGUCCUUUAUCCUCCUCUCUUCCAAGUACUCG
rnacentral:misc_RNA from 1 species